GCAUAUCAAUAAGCGGAGGAAAAGAAACUAACAAGGAUUCCCCUAGUAGCGGCGAGCGAAGCGGGAAGAGCUCAAAUUUAUAAUCUGGCGCUUUCGGCGUCCGAGUUGUAAUCUCUAGAAGUGUUUUCCGCGUUGGACCGCACAUAAGUCUGUUGGAAUACAGCGGCACAGUGGUGAGACCCCCGUUCACGGUGCGGAUGCCCAAUGCUUUGUGAUACACUUUCGAAGAGUCGAGUUGUUUGGGAAUGCAGCUCAAAUUGGGUGGUAAAUUCCAUCUAAAGCUAAAUAUUGGCGAGAGACCGAUAGCGAACAAGUACCGUGAGGGAAAGAUGAAAAGCACUUUGGAAAGAGAGUUAACAGUACGUGAAAUUGUUGGAAGGGAAACGCUUGAAGUCAGACUUGCUAUUCGGGGCUUGCUCCGAGUUGCAGGCCAGCAUCAGUUUUUCGGGGCGGAAAAUCACGGAUUGAAGGUAGCAGUUUCGGCUGUGUUAUAGCUUUCCGUUGGAUACGUCCUGGGGGACUGAGGAACGCAGUGUGCUUUUAGCGAGGGCUUCGGCUCUUUCACACUUAGGAUGCUGGUGGAAUGGCUUUAAACGACCCGUCUUGAAACACGGACCAAGGAGUCUAACAUGCUUGCGAGUAUUUGGGUGUCAAACCCGGAUGCGUAAUGAAAGUGAAUGGAGGUGGGAACCGCAAGGUGCACCAUCGACCGAUCUGGAUUUUCUAAGAUGGAUUUGAGUAAGAGCACGUAUGUUGGGACCCGAAAGAUGGUGAACUAUGCCUGAAUAGGGCGAAGCCAGAGGAAACUCUGGUGGAGGCUCGUAGCGGUUCUGACGUGCAAAUCGAUCGUCAAAUUUGGGUAUAGGGGCGAAAGACUAAUCGAACCAUCUAGUAGCUGGUUCCUG
rnacentral:rRNA from 1 species